rnacentral:rRNA from 1 species
GACGAACCGUGCGAACGUUGUUCGGAAUCACUGGGCUUAAAGGGCGCGUAGGCGGCACGGUACGACCGGUGUGAAAGCCCCCGGCUCAACUGGGGAGGGUCACCGGUAACGGCCGAGCUAUGAGUGCAGGAGAGGGAAGUGGAACUCCGGGAGUAGCGGUGAAAUGCGUAGAGACCCGGAGGAACACCAGUGGCGAAGGCGGCUUCCUGGUCUGCAACUGACGCUGUGGCGCGAAAGCUAGGGGAGCAAACGGG